UUUAUUUAGUAUUAUCUUUUCGACUUAUCGAUCUGACGGAAGGAAGUUAGUAUGAAAGUUAGAACCGUGAUGGCGUGUUUGCUCUAGUGUGACAGAUAAUUCGUGUGAUAUUUUAAACUGUGAUUUGUGUUGGCGUUUCCAAUUUUGGUGAUGGGCUGUAAUUUCUUGUUACUUACAUUAAGCAGUACAUGAGAGCUUCAUCAGCCACGCCUUUAAGAUAUAACACUGGAAGAACAGCUGAAGAUUGUAAAGCGUUGUGCAGAGACUGAUCUGCUCUUCGUCGUGAUGCGAAUGGAGAUACCUGGUGACGUCAAGAUGGCUGCUUCAACGCGCGGAGACGGGAGGCAACGACCUCAGAAAAAUCAUGGUGUCCAGAGAUGUAUCCAUAUCUGUUACGAAUG